rfam:Nelumbo nucifera unplaced genomic scaffold scaffold00101, whole genome shotgun sequence
AAGAUAAGGGCCAGCCAAGUUAGCCAAGGAACUUGCCUAUCAACCAUGCAAGGGAUUCUAAGAUGAGGUAAGAGCUCAGGCCCUUGCAAGGACAUAGGCAAGUCAUCCUUGGCUACCAAACAAACCCUUAAAU